AACAAAUGCUGCAUUACCAUUGUCAGUAUCUCUUCUGUUUCUUAACUAUCGGAGUUUUAAACUUAUCAGAAAUUUUAGAGAUCUUUAGCCUUACUUCCCUCCCAGAGAAGACAGGACUUUGAAGCAGCUUCUGGAAGGAGAAUGAAGUCGAUGAAGAAAUGAUUUAUAAUCCACCUUCCAUGGAGGAAAGAUGACUUGGACCCAGUUUUAGAGAGCAGGCAUCCUCCUGGACACAUUCAGGUGAUCAGUGUUACAAGAGGAAUGGAUUGGAUGUACCUGCUCCAGAGAGUGAAGAAUAAACAUUGCCCCCACUAAGCAAGCUGUGGAUAAGCCUUAAGGGCAGUGAACUUCCUGACAAGAGUCUGGAGAACAGUGAAGUGGAGCCUUAGCUCUUAACUGCUAAGCCACUUGUGUCAGCAGUUGACAUAAAAAGCCAGUUGUCUGUUAAGGCCAAUCCCUCCUGACAAAAAUCUGUAUAAUCUGCAUAGAAGAGAAGGUAACAUCUUUUUCUUCUCUGUGAAUACUCCAUGAGCAACAAAAAAAAAGCAGCUGGGGAUUUUUGCUCCCUUUUGGAAAAAAUGCCAGCAUGUCUUUCCUUCCUAGAAAAGCCAUAAGCUCCUGGUGGGUGAUGAAAAGUGGAUACUGUACAAAAAUGUGGAACAGAAGAGAUCAUCGGGCAAGUGAAAUGAACCAACCACACCGAAGUCCGGUCUUCAUCUAAAGAAGAUGAUGUUGUGUAUAUGGUUGGAUUGGAAGGGAGUCCUCUAUUAUGAACUCCUUCUGGAAAACCAAAUGAUUAAUUCCAACAAGUACUGCUCCGAGUUAGACCAACUGAAAGUGGCACUUGACGAAAAGCGUCCAGAAUUAGUCAACAGAAAAUGCAUAAUCUUCCAUCAGGAUAAUGCAAGACCACAUGUUUCUUUGAUGACCAGGCAAAAACUAUUACAGCUUGGCUGGGAAGCUCUGAUUCAUCCGCCAUAUUCACCAGCCAUUGCACCUUCGGAUUUCCAUUUAUUUCAGUCUUUACAAAAUUCUCUUAAUGGAAAAAAUUUCAGUUCUCUGGAAGACUGUAAAAGGCACCUGGAACAGUUCUUUGCUCAAAAAGAUAAAAAGUUUUGGGAA